UACAGAAGCCUCGAGCGUUGUUCGGAAUUACUGGGCGUAAAGGGAAUGUAGGUGGUGACGUAAGUCAGAUGUGAAAGCCCUGGGCUUAACCUGGGAAGUGCAUUUGAUACUGCGUUGCUGGAGUGCGAGAGAGGAAAGUGGAAUUCCCAGUGUAGGGGUGAAAUCCGUAGAUAUUGGGAGGAAUACCAAUGGCGUAGGCAGCUUUCUGGCUCGUAACUGACACUGAGAUUCGAAAGCAUGGGUAGCAAACAGG
rnacentral:rRNA from 1 species